AUUCAUAUGUUAAGUCCUAACCCCCAGUACCUCAGAAUGUGACUGUAUUUGGAGUUAGAUUCUUUAACGAGGUAAUAAGGUAAAAUGAGGUCAUAUGGGUGGGACCUAAUCCAAUGUGACUUUAUAAGAAGAGGAGUCUAAGACACAGUCUGUAAUAUGCAAAUAGAAGAAAGCAAGAAAGAACUAUAAGAUGUGCAAGAACAACGAAAAGGUGAAUGGGAAAACAGACUUUAGGGCAGGAAGAACUGUGGUGUCAAUGACAGGAAAAUGAACAUGCACUCAGCAAAUGUCCAGAAUCCCAGGCUAAUGAGAUUAUUUGCAGGCAGAAGGGAAAGGAAAGAGGAAAGAAAGGAGCGAUCACAGAGGAAGGGAAGGAGGCCACGUGAAGAUGGAGGUUGAGAUUGGAGUUACACUGCCAUAAGCCAAGGAAUGACGGGAGCCACCAAAAGCUAGAAAAGGCAAGGAAGGAUUCUUCCUAAAGCCUUUGGAGGGAAUGUAGCACUCCUAACACCUUGAUUUUAGAAUUCUUACCUCCAAAACCAUGAGAGAAUAAAGUCUGUUGUUUUAA